UACGUAGGGGGCAAGCGUUGUCCGGAAUCAUUGGGCGUAAAGAGCGUGUAGGCGGCCCGGUAAGUCCGCUGUGAAAGUCCAGGGCUCAACCCUGGGAUGCCGGUGGAUACUGUCGGGCUCGAGUCCGGAAGAGGAGUGUGGAAUUCCUGGUGUAGCGGUGGAAUGCGCAGAUAUCAGGAGGAACACCGGUGGCGAAGGCGGGUCUCUGGGCAGUAACUGACGCUGAGGAGCGAAAGCGUGGGGAGCAAACAGG
rnacentral:rRNA from 1 species